UGUUGGAGAAGUGUAAGAGGCCAUUAGAGCGGUGUUUUGGAGGAGGUGGUGGUGUUGAUGGGCUGUUAUGGCACAUGGACUUAACAGCCCAUGGACUUGAACCCACAUGCUUCUGGAGACUUUUCAAUUGCAAUGGUGCAAGCUAAUUCUUUGUAGGAGGAUUGGGGACGGGUGUUCACUUCUCCUUCAGCCACAUAUGUUUGUAUCUAUGACGGCCAUGGCGGUCCGGAGGCUUCCCGCUGCAUCACUCAUUACCUUUUUCCUUUUCUCCACAAAAGAAAAGGAGGGAGAACCCUUAUCAGAAUGAACUUUGAAUUCCGGAGUUUUCAGCAGGGGAAGGUGGAUUAUCAGAAGAAGUAAAUAAAAAAGGCAUUUGAUGCAACAGAAGAGGAAUUUUUACAUUUAGUAAAAAGAUCAUGGCCGCAGAUUGCUUCAGUGGGUUCAUGUUGCCUUGUUGGUGUCAUUGCUAAUGAUGUGUUAUAUGUGGCAAAUCUUGGUGACUCCAGGGCUGUGUUAGGGAGGAGAGUGUCGGACGAUCGAAAACAUACACGAGUAUUGGCAGAAAGUUGUCUAUUGAUCAUAAUGUCGGUGUUGAGGAGGUGAGGAAGGAGGUUGAGGCCCUUCACCCUGAUGAUUCUCACAUUGUAGUUUUUACCCACGGAGUUUGGCGGAUUAAGGGAAUAAUUCAGUCAUGAAUUUUUAUCAGCAAUUUGGCUCUGGAUGAGCUAUAAUUAUAGCUUGAUAUGAAUGUUUGUUCAACAGCUGUUUGUGUGAAUUUGAAGUUCAUUGUUUGUGCAGAGAAUUGUAAUUCCUCACUUGUUGCUGUGAUUGAGAAUUUUCAUGAGAAAAUUACUGUUCAGCAUAAAAAUUACCUUUGAUCUAGUUUAUGAUAGUCUUGUGAUUUAUUUGGUAUCAAGUCUUUAAUGAUUCCUAUUGUUUCUUUUAUAGGAUCAUGUUUUGUCUCAUUUGAACCUGAUUUCUCUUGCUAUCUAUCAACUUGUAGUUUAAGACUGAAGGCAAGAUAUUGCAAUCUAUUAUGAUUUCAAGUAUAAGGUGUAAGGUAUAAGAGUUGAAUCAUACAUUAGAAAGUAUGAGCUUCUAUUGUGAAAUUUAUAUGACUUUAGACUCUUUAAUCUCAAUAAUUAGUUUUCGAAGUAUAGUUCUCACGAAGUUCAUAUUAUUUGAUAUCAAAGACAUCACCACGUUUUUCAGUUGCAAUCAUGCGACGUGUGAAAAUAGCGUGCAACCAACCCAAAUGGGUGCUGGGGCUGUGAAGCGUGGUGGUAUAUUAGGAAGAAUGGAACUUGGAUCUCACAUUAGAAAGUAUAAAAGUCCUUGAAGACUUUAGCAUUUGUUGCAUUUGCAAUUAAAAUUUUUGUUCAGAAAUCGGUAAAAGUGUUCUUGCAGUGGAUUGUAUUCUCACUCUUUGGCCCAUCUUUCCUGCAAAUUUGUUGCACUGUAUUUUGCAUUGAAGAACCACCAAUGAAAUAUAUAAAAGCCUUGUGCUAAAACACUAGCAUCAAAUGCUGAGUUUCUAGAUCAGUUGGAGAUGUUUAUUUGAAGAAGCCUGAGUUUAGCAGUAACACUCUCUUUCAACAAUUCGGAUCAGCAGUCCCUCUGAAAAGGCCUGUGAUGACCGCAGAACCCUCUGUCUUAAAUCGAAAGUUGUAGCCGGGGGACUAGUUCUUGAUCUUUGCAUCUGAUGGUCUUUGGGAGCACUUUAGUGAUGAAACAGCUGUUGAAACUGUCCUAAAGAACCCAAGAGCUGUAAGGCCCAGGUAAGUGUCAAUCAACAAACUUUUUCUUUAAUUUCAGAUAUUGCACUGCAACAAUGGCAAAGGUUUAGCUGACAAGAAUUAACGGUUCUUUUUUCCAUUCAUUUGGGAAUUGCAAAACGAUUGGUAAGCGCUACGCAGCAGGUGGCCGCGAGGAAAAGAGAAAUGAAAUAUGAGGACUUGAAAAGAAUCGAAAGGGGCACAAGGCGACAUUUUCAUGACGAUAUCACUGUUAUUGUGAUAGACAUAGGUGAUCCACCGGGUUCAUCAAAAGGUGGGUUCAAAGAUUAUUGCCUUGUCAGGUUCACAAGCGCCCCAGUCGAUAUCUCCUCUUUAAAAGCAGGUGAAGCAGAGGAUGCUCUUCGAGAUGUUAACCCAAAACAAAAUAGCAGCUAGGACUAGUAAUGAGUUAUCCUGUGAUGUGUCCAUCCAGAUGGUAAGAUAAGGCUUUGGAAUAAUGAUCUCCCUGGAGAAAAAGUUGUGUAGAUGUAUCUUUUUGUAAAUACUUUGUAAAGAGAUUCUUGAUGGGUACUUUUUCCGGAGCUUUAACGAAUCCUCAGAAACUCAAGAAAAUCCAGUUUGGUUUAUGAGCCGAAAUCUAAUAUUCAUUGUCUCAA